CGCAAAGUCGACACUACGGCGCGUAUACAACGGAGAGAAUGCUAAAAAUAUAUAUAAACAGAAGCCAAUGACUCCUUGCAGAACGGCAGAGACCCCCCGACGGCACGAACGCCGUGAGAGUAGACGACUCUUACUUUCGGUUUUGUAAGAAACCUCAAGACAGUGAUCGCAGCAGGUGAAAGUGAUCUAAUGGAAGAACGUAACGGGGCACGUGCGAUUGGUGGAAUUUCGAAGAAAUUAAUCAACAGUGGAAUUAGACAGGCUGAUCGAUCGAAACUCAAAUUUAUACGCGAUUCGGUCACGUAUGAAAAUAUUUUCACGACUGAUGCCAACGCGUACUGGACUUGAUUGGUCGCUGAUGGAUUCAUUGUACGCUGUUUUAAUAGCGUAAUGUCAUGAGAAUUAUCCAGUUAUGGCAACGCAUCGUUCGGGUCAAUCUCUUGAACCGUGACCGAUGGAUUCAACCGCAGCAAAACCGUAUCGUAUAACCCACGUUUCUCUGGGUAAUUAAGGCGUCCGAGCGACGGGGCUUUCAAGCGUCACUGAGAAUUAUUUACGACUGUGAAAGACGCCGAAAGAGCGUUACUGCUCGGCAGCAUCACUCGUAGGUGUAUAAAGCCACGUGUAACACAAAGAUCUGUUGUAAGAUGAGGCUGCGAUAUAAACACUGUCUUGUGAAUAUAUUACGAGGAACAAUAAAUAAGACAGAGGAUCACGAACAGAGAAAUAAAAACUAUGAGAGACGCCGCGGCGGUGAGUUUGUUGUGUGUUAAUUAGAUUGCGUCUCCAAUAUGUCUUGGGCGAUCGAUACGCCAUCGGCGAAUCUAGUAAAAUAACGGGGAUAAUUAUCGACAACCGAUACACCAUGAGAUGGAUGAAAAAUAGUGAGAUACAAAAAAAAAGCUUCAGAUUCGUCGCUCCAGCAUCCAAGACACGCCUGAGACGUUGGAUCAUAAGCAAACCGCAGAUUAUUCAGGUCACUGGGCCGUGCCAACGGAAAAGAAUAUACUUUGGUAAAACUAUGAAAAUCAAGGACGUAAGGGAAUCCUCCUGUCUCACAGAUCCAAUAAUCAUUGACAUCCUAAUUACCCGUCAAUGUUAAACGUCCAUCGUACGCAGCAGUCUUGGGAUAAAUGUACAAGAAAUAAAAAGACAGUCUUCCGGUUAGCCCGAAGGUGGCGUGGGUACUGGGCAUGAAUAUAUCGCGUGGCGAAUGACUUUAUGGCCGAGUACAUUGUUAUUAUCUCCCAGCGCUGUACUUUCCACGUCGGUAUUCGGACACAGUGAUCUAUUUGUUCGUCGAGAGUGAAACUAGGUAAGUGGCCGGUGUGCGGCCAUUGUGCCGAUUGUUUCACGUGGCUUCGAUGCUAAUGACAAUGAUACGAGAAAGAGAGAAGACGACGAGAGAGAGAGAGAGAGAGAGAGAGGGGGGAUUAGAAGAUUGAGAAAAAGAACAAAGACGUGGAUAUACGCAUAUAUAUACUUUUGAUGAAGCCGCAA